UACGGAGGAUCCAAGCGUUGUCCGGAUUUAUUGGGUUUAAAGGGUGCGUAGGCGGAUUAUUAAGUCAGAGGUGAAAGCCGGUAGCUCAACUAUCGAAUAGCCUUUGAAACUGUUAGUCUUGAGUAUUGUUGAGGUAGGCGGAAUGUAUCAUGUAGCGGUGAAAUGCAUAGAUAUGAUACAGAACACCGAUUGCGAAGGCAGCUUACUAAGCAAUAACUGACGCUGAGGCACGAAAGCGUGGGGAUCAAACAGGAUUAGAUACCCUGGUAGUCCACGCUGUAAACGUUGAAUACUUGCUGUUGGCGAUAUACAGUCAGCGGCUCAGCGAAAGCGUUAAGUAUUCCACCUGGGGAGUACGGUCGCAAGAUUGAA
rnacentral:rRNA from 1 species